GAUGAACGCUGGCGGUAUGCUUAACACAUGCAAGUCGAACGGACUCUUCGGAGUUAGUGGCGGACGGGUGAGUAACGCGUGAGAAUCUGGCUUUGGGUUCGGGACAACCACUGGAAACGGUGGCUAAUACCGGAUGUGCCGAGAGGUAAAAGAGAAAUUGCCUGAAGAUGAGCUCGCGUCUGAUUAGCUAGUUGGUGAGGUAAAGGCUCACCAAGGCAGCGAUCAGUAGCUGGUCUGAGAGGAUGACCAGCCACACUGGGACUGAGACACGGCCCAGACUCCUACGGGAGGCAGCAGUGGGGAAUUUUCCGCAAUGGGCGAAAGACUGACGGAGCAAUACCGCGUGAGGGAAGAAGGCUAUUGGGUUGUAAACCUCUUUUCUUAGGGAAGAACAAAAUGACGGUACCUAAGGAAUCAGCAUCGGCUAACUCCGUG
rnacentral:rRNA from 1 species